CCCUUAGAUGUUCUGGGCCGCACGCGCGCUACAAUGAUGAAUUCAACGAGUUUAUAACCUUGGUUGAAAAGCCUGGGUAAUCUUUUGAACUUUCGUCGUGAUGGGGCUAGACCCUUGCAAUUAUUGGUCUCCAACGAGGAGUUCCUAGUAAACGCAAGUCAUCAGCUUGCAUUGAUUACGUCCCUGCCCUUUGUACACACCGCCCGUCGCUACUACCGAUUGAACGGUUUAGUGAGGGCCUCGGAUUGGUCUCGGCCCGCUCUUUACCGGGCGGCGCCGUUGGUCGAGAAGACGCUCGAACUUGAUCGUUUAGAGGAAGUAAAAGUCGUAACA
rnacentral:rRNA from 1 species